rnacentral:rRNA from 1 species
GGACUGCAGGCUGCAACCCGCCUGCACGAAGUUGGAAUUGCUAGUAAUCGUGGAUCAGCAUGCCACGGUGAAUACGUUCCCGGGUCUUGUACACACCGCCCGUCACACCAUGGGAGUCGGUAACACCCGAAGUCAGUAGUCUAACCGCAAGGAGGACGCUGCCGAAGGUGGGAUUGACGACUGGGGUGAAGUCGUAACAAGGUAAC